GUCACAUUUUGUUAAUUCUUAAAAUAUUUUAAGCUUUUUCAUUAUUAUAUUUAUUAUGGUGAUAAGUGAUCAAUGAUCAUUGAUGUUAUUACUGCAAAAAAUUAUGACUUCCCAAAGGCCCAGAUAAUGGUUAGCGUUUUUUUUUUAGCAAUAAAGUAUUUUUAAGAAAGAAAGGGAGAAAUAAAGAAGGAAAGGAAGAAAGAGAAAGAAAAGGAAAAUCGAGGAGGCAAGUUUAUUAGCAUUUGUUAGAAAAAAUUUUUGUUUUUGCAUCAUAUAGAUUACCAUUAUUGCAUGAAACAAUAAUGUGUAUUUACAGAUAGUCCUACUGAUUUUAAAGUUUUAUAUUUUUCAGAAGUUGAAUAUUUAAGGAAUAGUAAAAUGUUUUUCUCUAAUAUUAUAAAAAUCCUUACGUUCAUGCAGUGAAUAAGAUACCAGAAAAUUUUGUCUGCUAGGUAUACUCCAAUAAUUUAUUAUACAGAAUAGGUUUAUUAGAUACAUGAUAGAUGAAGACAAAAUAAACAGAAAUAUUUGAAAAAUUGGUAUUAAAAUAAACAGAAAAAUAAACUUUAUUCAGUAAAGUCUUAUUAAACUGUUAUUGAUAUAAACAGAAAAAUUUGAAAUACCUCCUUUUCUUUAAUUAUUCUACAAUAUUUUAAUAAAAAUUUUAUAAUCAUUAAGUGGCUCAUUCAAAAUCUAUUUCCUGUAUUUCACAUUUCAAAGUAAUAUUCAUUCUAUGAAACUGAUAAUGAGAGCAGCAAACACAAACUUUUGAAAUGUAGCAAAAUAGUUGAGAAAAUGUCUAAUAAAAAUUACAAAGAAAAAUUUUGUCUCAUAGCAGAAUAAUGGACUCUAGUGAAGAAAACUGAGAGCACCAUGUCAGUGAAUGAACUAUAUUUUCAUAAUCUUUGAUCAUCCUCUUUUUGGUUUCCUAUGCACAUACUGAUUAUACUUCUCCUUUUCAAGUGACACAUUCAGCAUAACCUGAAAUGAUUAAUUAUAUUUAGUGUCUCUGUUGUCAUCCUGAAAUACUGUUCAUUUCAACGAGAUUUUAGUGAAUAAUCAUUAAAAAGUUGUAACUAAAAACUUCCUCUAGGGUUGCGUAAAUCAGCUUGCUUUUGGUGUUAUUUUGUGUUCUCUCUGAAGAAAAUAUUUGAAAUGAGAACAGCAAUAUAGUUAAUAAAAAAUGCAGAUGUAAAGGAGUAAUGGUUAAAGUUUAAAGUACUUAGAUAUUAGGGGCCAGGCAAAGGGUGAGGAAGUCCUAGUGAAUGUUGUUUUUAGGUCACUGUUCUGAAUUUCAUGCAGUUUAGAGGUCUUGGUAAGACAUUAUCAUCUAAAAACUAGAAAUAUGAUAUUAACCAUAUCCUAACAGCAGUGGAAAUGAAUGAGAAAUGUAUGAGAAAGAGCAUGAUGAGGCCUGAAUUUGUAAUAUUCAUCCACGUUUGAUAAUCUGUAAACACAAUAUAUGGUGAAAAUGGUUACAUGUAAUCAUGGAAACAUGAAGGAAAAAUGAAUGAAUUCUACAUUGCAAUUUAAGAAAUUAAGUUUAGGGAAUUCCCCUUGUGACUCAGUGGAUUACAAACCUGACCAGUAUACAUGAGCACAAGAGUUCGAUCCCUGGCCUCGCUCAGUGGGGCUAAAGGAUCCAGCAUUGCUGUGAGCUGUGGUGUAAGUCACAGAUACGGCUCAGAUCCCACAAUGCUGUAGCUGCAGCAUAGGCCAGCAGCUGCAGCUCCAAUUCAACCCCUAGCCUGUGAACUUCUAUGUGCUGCAGGUAGAGCCCUAAAGAGCAAACAAAAUUAAAACGUUUUUAAAAAGACAUCAAGUUUUAGGAAUUCCCAUGUAGCUCAGAGGAUUAAGGAGCUGGCAUUGUCACUGCUGUGGCUCUGAUUACAGCUGUGUGUAUAAUCCUAGCAUGGCCAAAAAAAGAAAGACAUUAACUUUAGAAGAUAUGUUAAGGCAACAGAACACAUUUUAGACAAAGAAUCACCACUGAAAUUCUGAGAAUUCUUAGGGGAACAUUAAGAAUGGCAGUUCCUAAGUCCCCAACCUGAAGAAGAGUAAUAGAAAAGGAAUUAUCUGCUUCCCAUGGAAUUCAAAUGCUUACCCUCAUGCUGAAAUAUAUGGUCAAAAAAGACACAUUUACCAUGUUUAUCCAUAUAAGCAUAUAUGUGAUCAACGAAUACUGACAAAUGUACUUCUAAACCAGUCAAAAACUAAAGUUAAUCAGUGAUUUCUCAUAAUACAUUUGAGUCCAAAAUAUAUUAUUCACCACUUGUGAUAUGCUAGGAAAAUUUUUAGAUAAAAACUAAUACUAGCAAGUCUCAAAGUUCAUGAAUCAAAAAGAUCCUAUUUUGACUAGAAGAAAUGAAACAGAUACCUGCAAAAUAAGUAAUUGUAUGAAUAAAUUUUAUAAUAGAGCAAGAGUAUGUUUUAAAAGGGUUCUGAUAUAUUAGCAGAUUAGAAGAUCAGGAGACAUAGAAGAUGUAUAUCCUCCUUCCUAUCUUUAUUUCUGCAGGGCCAGGUUCGAUCCCUGGCCAGCACAGUGGGUUAAAAGAUCUGGCAGUGCCAUAGUCACAACUAGAAUCUGAUCCCUGACCUGGGACUCCAUACGCUCAGGAUGGAAAAAAAAAAAAAGAAAAGAAGAUGUUAAAAUGUUAGACUCUAUUAACACAGCCAUAGCCAAUUUUAACUGUUACUCAAAAUUGAAAGACAUUGAAAGUCACGAGCAUUCUAUUAUAGGGCCUAAUUGUUGCUGCCUUUUUUGUUUUUGUUGUUUUCAUUCAAAAUCCAUAUUAGUUCAAUAUAAAUUUUUAUGAAUUCUAAUAAAAAUAACAACAUUUUGUCUGCAUUAGUUUCUAAUCAUCUUUGGAUACGUGAAAGACAACAGUCUUUGAUGCCAUGUGAAUGGGUUUGACAUAAUUUUCAAGUUAGCAAUGUGCUUAUGGGCAAUUUAAACUCCCUGAACCUGAUCUUUCUUCUCUCAAAUGAAUAUAAUACUUUUCUCAUAUGUUGCUAUCAUAAAAGACUGUUAUCAUAAAAGACUGUUAUAUAUGUAGCAUAUAAGUACUAAAUAAAUUUACUAUUGUGUACAACAAUUAACCCAAUAUUUUAAAGAAAAUGACACUUUUUCUAGUGUGUCAUUUUCUAGGUGAAACUACAAAAUUUGACCUGAUGGUCAUCUCAGAAGAGGCAAUUACCAAGUGGGUCACAUAGAAAGACGUGGAGGGGCGUUCCCGUCGUGGCGCAGUGGUAACUAAGUGUCUGGUAGAAAUAGAAAUUCACCUCCCUUUAAAGAAAGGAGCUGCCUACCUGAGGGAAAUGCAGUCCGCACAGACUCCAGCUUUCAGCUCCUUCAGGCUAAGCUUCACAGAGCCAACUGACCAAAUGUCCAUCCUUUCCCUGGUCAAUUCACCUUCAGGGACUGAAUGAGGCAGGGUAAUGGCCCAGAGUUUUUGCCUCCCCCAAAAACACUCAGGAAGGCAAUAUUGCUACAGAGCUUUUGGUACCUUGAAUGAGGCUUUGUCAGGCAGUAUUACAGUUCCAAUCAUACACUGUCUGAUCCUGCCAGAUCCCAUCCUGCCCACUUUCCUUUCACAGAUGUUGAUCACAAGGUGUUGACAUGCGGCACUCCAAACUCUGUCACAUCUGCUUCUGAAGAACCUUAAAUAUGACAGUUUAGCCAGAAGUGAUUGAAAACGGCAAUAAGGUUUUACAGCUAAAUCACCAUCCACCUGGACAGAAUAAAGAUCCUCAUCAUUCUUGAUAGCUGCAGUCCAAGCAGUCCCUGGCACAAGAUGGUGGUUCAGUUGCUAAAACCAGAGAGGAAUCUUGGUCUCUGGGUGGAAGAAAGUGCAUUAGCAGUCUUGCCAUGAAUUUGAGACAUAGGAAAAAAAUAGUAGAUGUUAGGAAGUGGUAUUAUGUAAGAGACAGAGUGAGCAUUUGAGACAAAGAAACUAGCACUUGAAAGACAAGUAUGGAAGCCUGAGGGUCACUUUGGUUACAUAUGAAAAUCUCGAAUUUCCUCUAAGGGAAGGGAGAGAAAGCUGAAAAAAUUAGAAAUGUGGUUAAACUUCAAAGAUAGCUAAGCACCCAGCCAAAGUAAGUAUAUCAUGCCAAGAUCAGAGCUCUGGCAGGGAAAAAAGAAACCCUCACACAUAAAUCUUAUAAACCUUGUGAGCCUAUAGAUGCAGACGGUCUAUCCAUCCUUGAUAAGAGUUAACACUUCCUCUAAACUGAAAAAUAAUGCAGAGGCUUCUCUCUUCCAAAGCAAAAAUCUCUAGGGAUUAUUAGAAUUUACCUGGCCAAAUAUCCUGAACGAAGUUGUUGGGUUUUUUGGUUUGUUGUUUUGUUUGUUUUUUUUUUUGUUUUGUUUUCCCUUAGAUUAAAUACGUAAGUCAUAUUCCUUUACUACUACAAACAAAUCUAUAGGUAAUUGUAUUAGUCGGAAAUCAUUAGUAAUACUAGUGUUAAUCCAUUAACUUUUUUGUCUUUUGUCUUUUUAGGGCCACACCCAUGGCACAGGGGGGUUCCCAGGCUAGGGGUUGAACCAGAUCUGUAGCUCCUAGCCUAUCCACCGCCACGGCAAUGUGGGAUCCGAGCCACAGCUGUGACCAGCACCACAGCUCACAGCAAUGCCAGAUCCUUAACCCACUGAGCAAGGCUAAGGAUCGAACCACAUCCUCAUGGAUACUAGUUGAGUUUGUUAACCACUGAGCCACACGGGAACUCCCAAUCCAUUAACUUUUAAAAGAAUAUACCCACAACUGAUUUGUUUCGCAAGUAACAUAAAGACAUUUAUUUUUAAAUUAUCAAUAAAGUAAUUGUUUACAUUUAUUUAAAAAAAUGUAAACAACAAAAAACCCUUGAACGUCACCCCUCAGGACCUACCCACCAUUUUGUCCAAUUAGUCUAUGACUCAUGUUAUAUUACAGAAUAACCCAAGUGAGAGCAACCUCAGUCUCAGAAGAAAGGAAUGGACUAAAACAUUUUGUAUUAACAAAAGCAAUGUUAAUACUUAGCUAGCUUUUACCUGGAAGGAACCAUAGGAGAACACAUGAAAAUAUUUUCUUAGAAUGCUUAAUUAAGAGAUCUGUAAAAUAAAAUUGAAUAGGGAAGAUUUCCUGACUCAGGCGCACUGUCCUAAAGUCUACUAUGUAAUAAAUACUUAGGACAACAUACAAUGGUGUGACUCAUUAUGAUGAUGGCUCAUAGAGUUGUUAAAAAAGCAAUGUCUUUCAUGAGUAAGUCUGUAAUCCAGAUGAUGGAAAAAAUAGUGUGAAAAAAAUGUUGAAAGAAGACAAAAUCUUUUUCAAAGCAUGGAAUCAAAGGGAAUAUUCCCAAAUUCAUUCUUUAAACCCAUUGCUACCCUAAUACAAAACCCAGACCAAAACCUUAUAAAAAAUAA
rnacentral:lncRNA from 1 species